GUACUGAUAUUAUGUCUAUUUUAUUUUACAUCUAUACUUUGUUUGCAAUAAAAACCUUUUGAAUUUCGAACAAAAAGAAAUCUUUAAUAGAGGUGUCUUUGUUUUGUACUAAAUAGAGCUGAUGAAUUAGUACACUGAACUUGAUACAAAGAAAAUUUAAUUAAUCAUUAAUUUUAUCUAAUAAGGCAUAAAAACUGAUGUCACUCGUUGAUUGGUGUUACAUUAUAAUAUUUACUAUACGAAUGUCAUGUUCUUUUUCUAUUCCCUCUUCGUUUUUCCAGUUCUCUCAUGCACACACUGUCUUUAUAUAUAUAUCCAUAAUGUAAACAUGCAACCUAACCAAUAUACCGUAUGCCGGACUACGAGCGAGUCAACUUAUUGUAGAUAAGUGAACUAAGUCAAUUAAGUGUAACUUUCUAAUUGUAGAUUACAAUGUGGUACUUGAUUAAUGAACAAGGUGCCCGCAUAUAUUUAAAACCAAAUCAAGAGACGUUAAUCGGCAGGAAGAAAGCUGACAUUGUUUUGCCAAAUGAUAAAUCAAUCAGCAAGGAACAUGCCUCAAUUAGUGUUACAAAAUUAGAGGAAAUAAGGGGUAAUGAACCAACAUCUAUAUGUAAACUAAAAGACUUAAAGUCAAAAUAUGGUACUUUUAUCCUUCAUGAACAUGACAUAAUACAACUAACUGAAACUGAAUGUAUUUUAAAACAUCAAGAUACAAUAAGAUUUGGUUUACAGAACCAUGUAUUUAAGGUGAUAUAUGUACCUAUAAUAACAACAGUAUCUACUUUAUGUGAUGACGAGAUAGAAAGAUUAAAACAAUUGAUGGAAGAAAUUGAUGGUGUAAUAAUUACUGAUAGCGAUUGGAGAAGGGCAUCCACUUAUUUAACAGUAGGAAAUGCUAUUUUAACACUGAAGCUUGCCUCUGCUAUGGCUUCUGCUUUACCAAUAGUGACAAUGAAAUAUUGGGACGAAGUUAAAUUUGCAAUAGAUAAUGGUCGGCAACUUCCAGAUUCAAAUAAUUUUGUUCCACCAAUUGGUGAACCAUUAAUCGCUAAAAGAAAGGUAUUGAUUUCUCCAAACGAGAAAAGAACAACGUUAUUUGAAAAUUUAACAUUUAUACAUUUUAGUACAACUCAAUAUAGGAAAUAUAAGAAAAUUAUUAGAAUAGCAGGUGGAAUAUCACAAUUAUUUGAAAGAGCAGACCUAACAACUACAGAAUUUUGUAGCCCAAAUGUGAUUGUAUUACAAUAUUCAGACAAUGAUUCAACACAGAUCACGGAAAGUAUUUUCUGUAUAUAUCAUUCAAUACAACAAGCAUUGAAAGCAAAUAAUUAUAGAAUGAUAGCUGAAGUUGAAAUUUGUCUUGCAAUAUUGCAUUGUUCGACAGAAAAAUAUUGCAAUCCUAUGUAUAAAUUCGCAAAGCUUUUAAAAAGAUCAGAACGAAAAAAUGAUUCAUGUGAGAUUUUAAAUCUUGAUACACAAGAUGAAACAGCCAAAGUGUCAGAAUUACCAACUUCUUCGUUUUCGAUAUCGAUACCCGUAAAACACCGUAUUAUUCCUGAAACAUUGGAUAUCAAUCAAGAAUCAUUACCAAAUGUAAGUGGUGUUGUCAUACAACCUACAGAAGAGCAAAAAUGUAAUAAAAUACAAUGCAUAAGAAAAGCUCCUAAUGAUACUUCAGCAAUGGAAAAUAUGCAAGUUACACGAUCAAGAGUAAUUUCCAAUGUUUCGGCAACGACAUCCGUGAAAAUAAGACAACGUAUUAUUCCUGAAACAUUGAGUAGCAUCAGUAGUCAAGAAUCACAAUCAGAUGUACAUUAUAUUUUCACACAACCUACAGGAAAGCAAAGAUAUAAUGAAAUACAGUGCAUAAAAGAAACUCCUACUGAUGCUUCAGCAACAGUGAAAAAUGUGCAAGUUACACAACCAAUUAUUAUUCCUGAAACAUUGAGCAGCAUUAGUAGCCAAGAAUUACAAUCAAAUGCAAAUUUUGCUGGUACACAACCUACGAAAAAGCAAAAAUGUAAUAAAUUUCAAUACAUAGACGAAACUCCUGAUGCUUCAGCAACAGAGGCAAGUAUGCAAGAUACACGAUCUAAUGAAAACAAUUCGACUUUUCCUAACUUAUUCUCACAAAUCAUUCGAUAUUCUAACCAUGAUAAUCAGAAUUUACACAAACACGGUAAUAUACAGGAUAAGAGACAAUCAAAAGAAGUAAUAAUCUUAAGUGACGAUGAAACUGAACUAAAUACAGUACAACAAAAUAAAAAUAAUAACACGAAUUCUAAUAAAGAUUUCAUACAUAAUAUAUCGAAUAAUAUAUUUAAGACAAAUAAUUCAAGAGAUGAAAAUAGGCAAAUGCCACAAACAGCUCGAUUAACUGAUAAUCGUAUAACUGCCACAAAUUUAAAAGAAAUGUGCAAAGUCGAUGAAAAAAUAGAAUUAAAAAAUGUGCGCCCUGUAACACUAGAAGUAGAAGAAAAGCAUAAUGUAGAAACGACAUGUUCAGGAAAUUCAAUUACACCAUAUAUAACAGAACCACUAAAUACACCUGAAGAUCCUCCUAUAUGUUCUGUGGAAAAAGAAAAAAGGAAACAUAAAGAACAAAAUGUUAUAAAUUCCGCAUUACAAAGUAAUUCGUCACUUCGAGCUCAUCCUAAUUUCAAAGUGUUCAAAAAGGUUCCUGCUAUAGUUCCUCAGAAAAGGAUAAAAAUCGAUAAUAUAUUGGUGGCGUCUUGGAGAAACGUUAGUUUUACGCGGGAAGUCCAGCGAAACGGAACAUCAUCCAGAUCCCAUUAGGGAACAUUCGUGGCCGUGUGUAAUGUGAUCGGCAGAGUCAGUGUUUGCUACGUAAAGUUAUUUCCAAUAUUUUUCAGAUUAAGAUAGUUCUUAGUGAUCAGUAAAUUGAAUCAGAACUCAUACGCGAGUUUAGAGCCAGUGUUUGUUUGCCGCUUGUAAUUUAAACGAGCAAGUUAAUAGUCUUUUAUUUUUCUUUUUUUACACACACACACGCGCACGCACACACAUACAGAUAUAUUCUUCUUUUUAAAUACUCUUUUCCAGUAUUAGAAUCACCCCUCCCCUCAAAAGGAUCCAACCUCUUUAAAAACCAAGAACAAUCGGUGCCUUCAUGAUGUUUCCCGGGCUAAGAUAAUACUAAUAACAAUAUUCUUCGCAUCUAGUGCGAGCAUGGCCUGCCUCCAUCUAUGCGUGUGCACAGUGGAUCCGUUCGCUGGUCGGAUGCAAUUACGGAUCGGGGCCGGACCGAGAAAAACGCCCAGUGCAUCGCUUGCCAAUUACUGGAAGGAAAGGCAAGGGAGUCUCCAAUUUGCUACUAACUUCUCUCAACGAAGGGCGGAAGCGGCACGGAAGGGUGUGGCACCAGUUACCGAACGCGAAUUGCACGGAAGCCUUUGCGAAUGUGAACCGAGUGCAACAGUAUUUAUUAAUCUCUCAAAUGGUCACUCUUGAAGAAAUUAAUUGUGUAAAUUGAAGUAAAUCAAUUUGAGCGCGAUAAUAAUGAUCCACAAUGUGUUGAAUUAAAAGUUUGAUUAAAGCACGGUACAUGAUACGUAGAUUAAGGAUUAAAUUUAUAUUUAACAUACGAAAUGCUCGUUUGAACUCAUUUUUUACUUAAAUUACGCGAAACAUUGCCGGGGGAAACACAAUGUAACAUUUUGACGUGUAACACGAACGUUGAUAACGUUCUGUUACAACGGAAAAUAACAAGCUUUCUUUAUCGCGUAUUUCACGGUAGAAAAUGUGAUCGAUUGGCGUACGUGAUGGUGAAACUGAUACUAAAGAUAGGCACGCGAAGUACAAAUGUCAGAGUAAAUCAAUAAUAUAAAGGAACGUUGCUGCGAAAUACGGAACAAGUACUAUAAUAAAUACACUAGAUCAUAAGAAUUCUAAAAUUAAACAGAACAACGUAUAAAUAGUACGCUUAGACUGAGAUAUUAAACCUACUACAAAAAUGCUAUAUCAAAAAUACAUCCAAUGUUAAAAAUAGAAUUCGAUAAUGUUACAAAUAACCACUAAUGUACACAACAACGUGUAAACGAAAAAACUUUUUGGCCAAGUUAAAAUAAAUUCACCGAAGAAAGUUGCAAAU